CCUACGGGAGGCAGCAGUGAGGAAUAUUGGUCAAUGGCCGGAAGGCUGAACCAGCCAUGCCGCGUGAAGGUCAGUGCCCUAUGGGCGUUAAACUUCUUUUGUGCGGGAGCAAUAAUGGUCACGUGUGGCCAGACGAGAGUACCGUACGAAUAAGCAUCGGCUAACUCCGUGCCAGCAGCCGCGGUAAUACGGGGGAUGCAAGCGUUAUCCGGAUUUAUUGGGUUUAAAGGGUGCGUAGGCUGUGAGGUAAGUCAGCGGUGAAAUGCCCCCGCUCAACGGGGUGAAGUGCCAUUGAUACUGCCUGGCUGGAAUGGGGAUGCCGUGGGAGGAAUGUGGGGUGUAGCGGUGAAAUGCAUAGAUAUCACACAGAACACCGAUUGCGAAGGCAUCUCACGAAUCCGCGAUUGACGCUGAUGCACGAAAGCGUGGGUAUCAAACAGGAUUAGAUACCGAGUAGUC
rnacentral:rRNA from 1 species